UGUAUGCUCUGUCACCCACAGGAAGAGAAGGAGAAGAGAGGGACAGGACAGCAAGAGAACCUAAGAAAAAGCAUAAACCAAAGGCCUCUUGGGCAAUAAAUAAAGUGAGAAUAAAAUAGCAUCUACCUGCAAAAGAGAAAGGUGCAGGGUAGAAGCAGGCUCAGAAGCAGUUGAUAAAGAAGGGACCUAUGUGAAUGUCAGGCCAGCAGGAAAGGGGUGCUCACUAGAGGGGAUGGCGGAUGGUUGGUACAUUGAGGAAGAGGCACUAGGAGGAAAGGCAGUACUGACCCUUGUAUAGAUGAGCACUGAUGAGCCCUCACCCAAGGAAUUAUCUGCUGACAGUGUCCUUCCUACUUCAAGGAGAAAAGAUACGAUGCUUGGGAAUAGCAGUCACAGUCUCUGAUAUUUAUUUAGGGCAAACAAACAGAGCAAUCUCACAGAAUACAAACCCUCAGCCUCCAACCACAGUAAGUAAAGCCACUGCUCAGUGAGAGCUGGUGUGUUCCACCAUGUGCCCUGCCCUAGCAGGGAAUCCUAGAUUCUCACAUACCCAGUACCUUCUGAAUUUUUAGAAGGGAUCUCCAUUUCUCAACCUUAGAUUGCAGUAGGCCCUCACACCCUUCUAGCCACAAAAGGUUCCCCUGAGACCCAGUCCUGGGUGAGACUCAGCCAUCCAGGCAGGUCUGGGUAAGAUGGACAUGUUCCCAGGAGCCAUUCCCACCUUCCCCCUUCCCCCCUUGCCUCUACUAUGAAUACAGGCACUCUCCUUUUGCGAGACUUUUGCUGUCUUAUGGUGCUGUGGGUAUUGUGGGUCUCAAUGCCCCUCCUUGCCACUGGUGCCUGGUGCUGAGGAACACAUCUGGGCAAAAAUCAAGUCCUUGUGAACUGGAUAAAUCUUCAGAAGUGGACUGAGGCCUCUGUGGCUCUCCUCCUGCCCAUCAGUUGGUACUAACACCCUGAGUCUGGACCACACAGGCUCUGAGGGAAACACAUUCCUUAAGUGAUCAUGAGAUCCCUCCCCACCCACCUUUCUCAACACCUGCCACUUCCUUCAGCUAGACAUCAAACAGCCUAGGAACACCAUGGCUGGAAGGCCAUUAGUCAUCUUUACAUUUUCAUGGAUUGGUGACUCUUCUUUUAUUUCCCCAAAACAGGUUCACUCUGACAACUCACCUUACAAGAUCCAUGAAUUUGAAAAAUCUUCCCUUGACUUCAACGCCCAAGAAUUAAAGAAACCACCUUCAGCCUCCCCAUUCCCAACAGCCACAGAAACGAUUUCUUCAAAAGUGAAAAAAGAAGUAAUACAACCUGCCCUGCUCACUGCACUACUGGCUUAUUCCAAGCCUCUCAUCCCCAUAACCGGGAGAUCCCUUUACCCUCAGGGA